CCUACGGGAGGCAGCAGUGAGGAAUAUUGGUCAAUGGUCGGGAGACUGAACCAGCCAAGCCGCGUGAGGGAGGAAGGUACAGAGUAUCGUAAACCUCUUUUGUCAGGGAACAAAGACUGGGACGCGUCCCCGGAUGAGUGUACCUGAAGAAAAAGCAUCGGCAAACUCCGUGCCAGCAGCCGCGGUAAUACGGAGGAUGCGAGCGUUAUCCGGAUUUAUUGGGUUUAAAGGGUGCGCAGGCGGUCUGUUAAGUCAGCGGUAAAAGCCCGGGGCUCAACCCCGGCCAGCCGUUGAAACUGGCAGGCUCGAGUUGGAGAGAAGUAUGCGGAAUGCGCGGUGUAGCGGUGAAAUGCAUAGAGAUCGCGCAGAACUCCGAUUGCGAAGGCAGCAUGCCGGCUCCACACUGACGCUGAGGCACGAAAGCGUGGGUAUCGAACAGGAUUAGAUACCCUAGUAGUC
rnacentral:rRNA from 1 species